CGUAGGCAGCAAGCGUUGUUCGGAGUUACUGGGCGUAAAGGGUGUGUAGGCGGUUCUUUAAGUUUGGUGUGAAAUCUCCCGGCUCAACUGGGAGGGUGCGCCGAAUACUGAGGGACUAGAGUACGGGAGAGGAAAGUGGAAUUCCUGGUGUAGCGGUGAAAUGCGUAGAUAUCAGGAGGAACACCGGUGGUGUAGACGGCUUUCUGGACCGUAACUGACGCUGAGACACGAAAGCGUGGGUAGCAAACAGGAUUAGAUACCCUGGUAGUCCACGCCCUAAACGAUGCAUAUUUGGUGUGGGCAGUUCAUUCUGUCCGUGCCGGAGCUAACGCGUUAAAUAUGCCGCCUGGGGAGUACAGUCGCAAGGCUG
rnacentral:rRNA from 1 species